CCCCACCCCCCACCCAACCCCCGUUCCGUCUACCCGACCGGCGCACCCAAUCGGGCAGCCAGGGACCGGCGAUCACCCUUGUCUCCCCACACUGUACGCCCAGACCCCCUUCUUUCCGGCGCCGGCUAUCCCAGGGUUGCGAGACAGGGCGUACCUCUGCCCAGCGUCCCGUCCCAGAGCUGAAUAGUUAACACUUAACCACAUUCCAGAAGCCUGGGCUCCAACCGCUCUCCCAGCCCCAACCUUUGGCCUUUCAGCCCAGUGGAGGGGUGCAGGGCGAAGGAAGUAGGAUGGAUCCCAGAGGCCUGUGCGUCCAGCUGGGUCUCUUCCUCCUGCGCCCUCCACGUUGCAGGACAAGCCACGGACUCGAGACAGGAUGGUGGGCAAAGACACCAACCUACCUGGUUGUCACAGUGGGCUGGACGGGGAGGGGCGGGGAACUCCGAAGGCGCUCCCAGUUCCUGAGGGCAAACCAUGAUGCGCGGAGCUGUGGCAGCCAUCCUGGGACAACAGAAGACCUGGAGCAGAGCAGAGAGGCAAAUCUAGGUUGAAGUUUGUGAAGUCAGCAGGGGAAACUCUGUGUGGUUCACACUGCUCUGUGUCAGAGGCUGACCUAACUAACAUUAACACAGUGUUUAGCUCAGCUCAACUCUCUCCAAACUGUGCUCCUUAGAAGACUGGAGAUCAGUGUUUCCUUUUAAUAAAAGUUUGUUCUAACAUUUUA